UCCCUCAGAUCUUAGUUGGUAAAGAAUCUGCCUGCAGUGCAGAAGACCUGGGUUCAAUUCUUAGGUUGGGAA
rnacentral:tRNA from 1 species